rnacentral:rRNA from 1 species
AUUGAACGCUGGCGGCAGGCCUAACACAUGCAAGUCGAACGAGUGGCGGACGGGUGAGUAAUGUCUGGGAAACUGCCUGAUGGAGGGGGAUAACUACUGGAAACGGUAGCUAAUACCGCAUACUAUCAGAUGUGCCCAGAUGGGAUUAGCUUGGUGGUGGGGUAACGGCUCACCAAGGCGACGAUCCCUAGCUGGUCUGAGAGGAUGACCAGCCACACUGGAACGUAGGCACGGUCCAGACUCCUACGGGAGGCAGCAGUGUUGAAUAUUGCGCAAUGGGCGCAAGCCGUAUGCAGCCAUGCCGCGUGUAUGAAGAAGGCCUUAGGGUUGUAGAGUACUUUCAGCGGGGAGGCGUUACCCGCAGAAGAAGCACCGGCUAACUCCGUGCCAGCAGCCGCGGUAAUAC